rnacentral:tRNA from 4 species
AGGCACGUAGCUCAGUGGGAGAGCGCUUCCUUGACACGGAAGAGGUCGGCAGUUCAAUCCUGCCCGUGCCUACCA